AGGUCUGUCCGGCACCCACCGCGAUGCUGCUGUCCCUUCAUCUCGUUGCGCGACGCAUUCGCCUCAUUAUGGUGCAUCUUCCUGUUGACUGUGCAACAUACCGGAUUCUUCUGGAAGGCUAUGUCGCUGAAUGUGCUCGGUCGCCCUCCUCCCGCUGCUCACAUGCGGCGGGAAGAGGCACUCGCAAGGUGCGGUCCCGCGACAGCCAUCGAACGGAGACCGCACUCGGCCGUUCGCUUCGACAGGCCGUCGAGGACUCGCCAGGGCUCACGGAUGCUGUGGAUGCGGAAGGCUGGGGAUGCUGCCGGUCCCCUCCCUUACUCGGUUUCAAUUAGUGAGCGUACUACAGAACGACGGUCCGUCUGCCGUGAGAAGCCUUCUGCCCGCUCUUGGAAAGGGAUCCCAAGCGGCUCGAAUGUCGACAAGAGUGUGACUCGGUGGUUAUCAAAAAAAAAAA
rnacentral:misc_RNA from 1 species